rnacentral:lncRNA from 1 species
UGACAUGAGUUUGUGUAUGUGCAGAAUAAACAAAACAAAAAUUCCAUUAAAAUCAUAUGAAACAGGAAAACCCCCCAUAAAUAAACUUUCAAAAGAAAUAAAGGGUUUAGAUCUUUCUUACUCCGUUACAGCAACCAAAAAUAAACUGAAAAAGAAAUUAAAAGAAAAUCAAAGACUCACCUUUUAAAAAAAUAAGUAAAAUCCACCGAUCCAGUAAAACUGAUACUAUACUAGGGAUAUGGUUUUGAACCACAAAACCGCUAUGGAAUAAACGAGCGGUUUUCCUGUGGCGCAGGUUUUGGGAAAACGAAAGAGAAAAAAAUGAAGAAAGAGCUGCGCGAGAGUAUAAUAGGAUUGUGGCAAAGGUUUUGGGAAAACGAAAGAGAAAGAAUGAAGAAAGAGCUGCGAGAGAGAGUAUAAUAGGAGGCGUGGAGUGUAAAGGUACUGUGACUAAAACCCUUAAUUCUGAUCUAACGGUUUCUAUUUGUUCCUUGUUUUGGUGUGAAUAGGUCAUCUGCCGUUAAUAUUAUAGUCAAUGGAUGGUACUACAGAUUCUUGUUAUUGCCUAUUUGAAUGGUGGAAGAGCACUAUUAUUGGGAGAGUCCAAUUUUUUAUUUUAUAUAAAAAUAAAUAUCUAUUGAUUUUUUGGAUAUUGAGAAGAUAUUUUAUGGCAAUUGCAAUAUUAUUAGUUAUA